rnacentral:rRNA from 1 species
UACGGGGGGUGCGAGCGUUGUCCGGAAUCACUGGGCGUAAAGGGCGCGUAGGUGGUUUGAUAAGGGUGUGGUGAAAGUCCGGAGCUCAACUCCGGAUCUGCCGUGCCGACUGUCAAACUCGAGGGCUGUAGAGGCAGACGGAAUUCCGGGUGUAGCGGUGGAAUGCGUAGAGAUCCGGAGGAAGACCGGUGGCGAAGGCGGUCUGCUGGGCAGUUUCUGACGCUGAGGCGCGACAGCGUGGGGAGCAAACAGG